GCAUAUCAAUAAGCGGAGGAAAAGAAACUAACAAGGAUUCCCCUAGUAACUGCGAGUGAAGCGGGAAAAGCUCAAAUUUUGAAUCUGGCGGUCUUUGCAGGCCGUCCGAGUUGUAAUCUAGAGAAGCGUCUUCCGCGCCGGCCUGUGUACAAGUCUCCUGGAAGGGAGCGUCAUAGAGGGUGAGAAUCCCGUCUCUGACACGGACCACCGGUGCUAUGUGAUGCGCUCUCGACGAGUCGAGUGGUUUGGGAAUGCAGCUCAAAAAGGGUGGUAAACUCCAUCUAAAG
rnacentral:rRNA from 1 species